rnacentral:lncRNA from 1 species
GGCCACCCAUACAGGACACCUCUCACCCCGGGCCUCUUGUAGCUCCUCUCCUGGCCACGCUGGCUGCUUCUUAUAUCUCAGCUCUGCUUGCUUUCAGCCGGCGAGAGGUCAGGGUCUGACUCUGGGACCUGAGGGACCUAAACCAAGAAUAUCGUCAUUCAUUCAACAGCAAGAAGUGAAACAGGGGUCUAAGUGACCACACUUAUUUGAGAGUCGGAAGGAAGAAAAGAUGGAGGGGAGACUCCAGGAACCUCAGGCCAUUUCAGAAGGAGCCACAGGGGAGGUAAAUGUCUCCUUUGUGUUUUGCAGACAAGAGUUUCUGACACGUCUCGGGAAAGGCUGGAGAAGUCACUCUCUGGGCUGCACUUUCAUCCAGGAGGCGGUGUGGGAUGGAUUAAUGGCAACUCACAAUAAAUUAUUUAUCAG